rnacentral:lncRNA from 1 species
GCGCCCACCAGUACUCCCUUCUCAGGGCAUUCUCUGAUGUGCCUCGGAGAGUGUGCUGCGGACCGGGGGAGGCGCUCCUACUCUAUCGAACAAGGACAAUGGGCCGCUCUCAGGAGUAACAGAGCCGUUGUUUGUAGGUGGAGAGCACCCUCCGGAGCCCAGCCGACUAGCUUCCCGGUGCCAGGCAUGCUGUGGGCGGGAGUCAGGCUCAACCUGUAGUUUAGAGGAUCACGGACUUCCCUCCAUGCCUCUGCGGAACCAGGAACUGGACACACAAUGAAAGGACUCACUGAGCCAAGGCAGCCUCGGGGCAUGCAUUUUGGAAGCGCCAAAUCUACUUCCCU